rnacentral:rRNA from 1 species
AACAAGAACGACUCUCGGCAACGGAUAUCUCGGCUCUCGCAUCGAUGAAGAACGUAGCGAAAUGCGAUACUUGGUGUGAAUUGCAGAAUCCUGUGAACCAUCGAGUCUUUGAACGCAAGUUGCGCCCGAAGCCGUUAGGUUGAGGGCACGUCUGCCUGGGUGUCACAC